UCAGGAGAUCGUCAACAUUGGGAAUGGACAAUGGCCUUCUGUAACUUAAGGACGGGCUGGCGAGGCUGGGGAAGGCGGGCAGGCAAGGGAGGAUUUCCUUGCACAGAUGCCAAAGCAUAACACACCUACAUCUUGACCCUGGAAAAAUGAACUUAGCUAGGAAUCAAAUGAAGAAAGGGUACCUGCAUGAUUGGUAGGUCAUCUCCGGAGCCAGUAAUCUGCCACUGUCCUAGACUCUCUUCUCCUGCUUGGGUCCAUGUCCAGUCAGGAACAAGCCUGUUUCUUUCCAUCACCAUCGCCGUUGCUGUUGUCCCACCGCUUCAAGUUUGUCUCCUAAAUAGCUUCAUAACUUACCUUGCUGACUUCUGUGUUGCUACCAUCAAAUACACCCUCUGCUGUGACCAAA